rnacentral:rRNA from 1 species
AUUGAACGCUGGCGGCAUGCUUUACACAUGCAAGUCGGACGGCAGCACAGAGAAGCUUGCUUCUUGGGUGGCGAGUGGCGAACGGGUGAGUAAUAUAUCGGAACGUACCGAGUAAUGGGGGAUAACUAAUCGAAAGAUUAGCUAAUACCGCAUAUUCUCUGAGGAGGAAAGCAGGGGACCUUCGGGCCUUGCGUUAUUCGAGCGGCCGAUAUCUGAUUAGCUAGUUGGUGGGGUAAAGGCCUACCAAGGCGACGAUCAGUAGCGGGUCUGAGAGGAUGAUCCGCCACAAUGGGACUGAGACACGGCCCAGACUCCUACGGGAGGCAGCAGUGGGGAAUUUUGGACAAUGGGAGCAAGCCUGAUCCAGCCAUGCCGCGUGUCUGAAGAAGGCCUUCGGGUUGUAAAGGACUUUUGUCAGGGAAGAAAAGGCUGUUGCUAAUAUCAAUAGCUGAUGACGGUACCUGAAGAAUAAGCACCGGCUAACUACGUG